rnacentral:rRNA from 1 species
AGUAGUUGAUCCUGGCUCGAGGACGAACGCUGGCGGCGUGCUUAACACAUGCAAGUCGAACGGGCACUUCGGUGCUAGUGGCGAACGGGUGAGUAAAGCGCAGGUAAUCUGCCGCAAAGUCGGGGACAACGUCCCGAAAGGGACGCUAAUACCGGAUGUUGUAGUGGAGUCGCAUGACUUUGUUACUAAAGAUUUAUCGCUUUGCGAGGAGCCUGCGUCCGAUUAGGUAGUUGGUAGGGUAAGAGCUUACAAAGCCGACGAUCGGUAACCGGUCUGAGAGGAUGAACGGUCACAUUGGAACUGAGACACGGUCCAGACUCC